rnacentral:misc_RNA from 1 species
CAAAAAAAAUCGCACCUUUUUUGCCCCCCAUCGUGUAGAUUGUACAGCAAGAACCAAGAAGAAGAUGAACUAAUAAGCGACGAUUCCUUUCUUUCUUUUUACAGAUUUUUUUUCCCUGCGAGAAUUAGCUGUGACGACGAGUGUCGUCGAUCAAACGGCGCUAUGGCAGAGGCUGGACUUCCACUGCGAUUGCCUGGCCUCCACCCACGCCAGGAACCGGUACGCCUUGCCGAAGACGCUGAGGAACACGAGCCCGGCGACCAGGCUGUAGGCCGCGACGCCGACGCCGCCGCCCUCCGCGGCGACCCAGCCGACGAGGUACACGGCGUCGGCGGCCACGAGCACCCAGCCCGCGGCCUCCAGCGCGGACCGCGUCCACGCGCUGAGGCGCUCCUCGCCGUAGAUGCGGCACACCAUCCGCGAGCAGAGCGCGAAGAUGACCGCCAGCGCCGUCUUGGAGAGGCCGCGGUACCGCACCGCCGAGCCGCCCACGAGCAGCGGCUCCAUCCGGCACAGGCACGACGCGCACUCCCCGGAGAAGCGGGACCACCGGAGCGCCUCCAGCCCCGUGUAGUAGGGCAGCACGACGGCGUCCAGGUACAGGCUGGCGUGCAGCACGCCGGACACCGUGGACGCCUCCAGCACCGCGUACCGGACGUCGCCGUCGGCCUCGUUCCGGAACGCCAGCGCCGACGCCUGCAGCAGCAGCAGCAAUGCCGGCCCGAGCUGCGCCAGCGGGAACACGGCGUUCACCCGCUGCCCCCUGGCGAGCGCAAGCAGCACCAGCGGGAGCAGGAACGGGCCCGACGGGACCAGGUACUUCCUCCUGACGCCUCGGACGCCCGGCGCCGGCGCCGGCGCGCUGUUGCUCCCCCGGACGAGGUCGAGGACGGUGAACGCGAGGGUGGAGAGGAAGCAGUACGCGGCGAAGGCAGCGACGAGGACGCCGACGGCCGCGGAGUAGUCGCCCGGGUAGGAGCUGUCGCAGUAGUAGUGGUAGGGGCAGGUGACGAAGUCGGUGGUCUCCUCCAGCUGCCACCGCAUGCACUUGAGUAUCUGCCUCGUCACCGCGUCGCCGCCGCCGUGCUGAGCCGCUCUCCACGCCGAUCGCCCGGCACCGAAGAGCACCUGAUCAUAGGACAUGGUGGGUGGCAGCGAGCGACCGUUUCUUGACGUCCUUGAGCUCUCUGCCCCUACUUGUCCUUCUUCCUCCUCCUCUGCUGCUUCUUGUCCUGUUCGCUAUAUGCAUGCCUGCAUUUGGUAGCCGCCAGUGAUGGCUUGCUUUCGGAGGCAACCGCUCACCUUCCUCCUCUCCGCUCCUCCUCUUGGAGGCCGGUGUGCUGCUGCUGUUGCUUGUAGGAGGAGGGAGGGGAGGGGAGAGGGGUUGCAAGUUUGGAACUGGAUAGGGAAGGUUUAACUGGCGACAUUGAAGGAACUUGCCAAGCGUGCCCUUUAACGUGAAGUUUUCAAACACCGUGUACUAAUCAAAGCAAAGGUGCCCAGCAAAGAUGUGCUCUGGAUGGCUGAUGCCAUUAGCGAGGAUUAAUGGGGAGGGGGGU